GACGAACGCUGGCGGCGUGCCUAACACAUGCAAGUCGAACGGGACCAGGGGCAACUCUGGUUCAGUGGCGGACGGGUGCGUAACACGUGAGGAACAUGACCUUCGGCGGGGGAUAGCCGGCCCAACGGCCGGGUAAUACCGCGUACGACCACAUGGGGACAUCCCUGAGUGGUGAAAGCAGCAAUGCGCCGAUGGAGUGCCUCGCGGCCUAUCAGCUAGUUGGUGAGGUAACGGCUCACCAAGGCGACGACGGGUAGCUGGUCUGAGAGGAUGGCCAGCCACAUUGGGACUGAGACACGGCCCAGACUCCUACGGGUGGCUG
rnacentral:rRNA from 1 species